UACAGAGGUCCCAAGCGUUGUUCGGAUUUACUGGGCGUAAAGCGUGCGCAGGCGGUUCGCUAAGACCGAUGUGAAAUCCCCGGGCUUAACCUGGGAACUGCAUUGGUGACUGGCGGGCUAGAGUAUGGCAGAGGGGGGUAGAAUUCCACGUGUAGCAGUGAAAUGCGUAGAGAUGUGGAGGAACACCAGUGGCGAAGGCGAGUCCCUGGACAACUCCUGACACUGAGGCACGAAAGCUAGGGGAGCAAACAGG
rnacentral:rRNA from 1 species